NUGUUCGCUUCAGCAGCACAUAUACUAAAAUUGGAAUACAGAAGAUUAGCAUGGCCCCUGUGCAAGAAUGACACACAAAUCCGUGAAGCGUUCCAUAUAUAU
rnacentral:snRNA from 1 species